GAGUUUGAUCCUGGCUCAGGGUGAACGCUGGCGGCGCGCUUAAUGCAUGCAAGUGGAGCGUGUCCGUGGCUUCGGCCACAAUGGAAAAGCGGCAGACGGCUGAGUAACGCGUGAGUAAUCUGCCCUUCGGUGGGGUAUAACCUCGGGAAACUGAGGAUAAUCCCGCAUACGACCAUUGUCCUUUGGGGCAUUGGUGAAAGGCUCCGGUCGCCGGAGGAGGAGCUCGCGUCCUAUCAGGUUGUUGGUGGGGUAAUGGCCUACCAAGCCUAUGACGGGUAGCUGGUCUGAGAGGAUGACCAGCCAGAGGGGGUGAGAUAGGAGAUUAGAGAUAGGGGGAAGAAAUGUAGGAGUAUAAGUGAGAAAAAUGGGGAGGUGUGGAGUAAUAAGGUUGGAGGAGGUGGAGAGGUAGUAGGGGUAAUUAGGUGGGAGUGAGUGGGUGGGUUAAGGGUGAUGUGGGGAGGUGUAGUAGGAGAGAGUAGGGGAUUAGAUGGGUAGAGUAUUUAGGAGUGAAUUUAAGUGGGAUGAAGGGUGGGUAUUUUAGUAAUAUUGCGCACAAGAGGGGCGAUGGUGAGUGGGUUGGGGGUGAAAAAAAGGUUUUGAGGGGAGNUUGAGUAAAAUGAGGGAUGAUUUAUUUUAACCCCCUUCUGGGCGGCCCGUUU
rnacentral:rRNA from 1 species